AUGGAGCUAAGCGCAGGAGCCACUCUCCUUUUCCUCUCUCUCAUCUCGCUGAUGAUGCUCGUGUCCUUGCUUAGCCGCCGCAAAUCAACACCAAGUUCUAAUAAGAUGAGGCGUCCUCCUGGUCCACGGCGUCUCCCCCUCAUCGGAAGCCUCCACCACCUCGUCACGUCGAUGCCGCCGCAGGUCGUUCUCCGGGAUCUGGCCAAGAAGCACGGCCCGGUGAUGUACCUGCGGCUGGGCCAGGUCGACACCGUCGUGAUCUCCUCACCGGCGGCGGCGCAGGAGGUGCUCCGGGACAAGAACCUCACCUUCGCGUCGCGGCCGAGCCUUUUGGCCACGGAGAUCAUCUGCUACGGAAACACUGACGUCGCCUUCGCGCCAUACGGCGUGUACUGGAGGACGCUGCGCAAGCUCUGCGUAGUCCAGCUCCUCAGCGCGCGAAAGGUGAGGCAGUUCUCGCCCAUAAGGGAUAGUGAGACCCUGUCCCUUGUCAGCAACAUCCGUCUCGCCAGCAGAGACAACGAGACGGUCAAUCUCGGCAAGCUGCUCAUGAAGUGCUCCAACACCAUCACCGCAAGUGCGACAUUCGGUGACGCGUGCGACCCCGAGCUCCAAGAGCGGUUCUUGUCUGCGAUCCAGGUGGCGCUCGACGCCAGCGGGGGGUUCUGCAUCGGGGACCUCUUCCCGUCCCUGCGGUUCGUCGACGUCGUCACCGGGCUGAAAGGCCGGCUCUGGCGGGCGCGUGGGCAGCUCGACGCCGUCUUUGACACGAUCAUCGCUGGUUGCGAGGCACGGCGAGAGGAGAAGAAGAAGACCACGAGGACGACAGCAACGACGGGAGAUGAUGACCUUCUGAGUGUCAUGCUUAGGAUCAAGGAGGAGGGGGAGCUUGACUUCCCCAUCGGCACUACAAACGUCAAGGCAAUCAUAGUGGAUUUGUUCACGGCAGGGACUGAGACGACAUCGUCGACAGUCGAGUGGAUCAUGUCGGAGCUCAUGAGGAACCCAGAGGUGAUGGCCAAGGCACAAGCGGAGGUGCGACGAACAUUGGACCACAAGAGUCCAGAAGACCAUGAGGGCCAAAUGGACAAGCUAAGCUACACAAAAAUGGUGAUCAAGGAGGGCAUGAGGCUGCACCCAGUAGUGCCGCUCUUGCUCCCCCGUGUAUGCCGGGAGACUUGCGAUGUCGGUGGGCUUCAGGUUGCAGGGGGGUCAAGGGUCAUGGUCAAUGUGUGGGCGAUAGCGAGGAGCCCUGAGUAUUGGCAUGACGCGGAGGAGUUUAGGCCAGAGAGGUUCAAGGACAGCGCCGUGGACUACAAUGGCACGCAGUUUGAGUACUUGCCGCUGGGGAGUGGACGGAGAAUGUGCCCCGGUGGUACAUACGGGUUGUCCACAUUGGAGCUCAUGCUGGCAAGACUUCUGUACUACUUUGAUUGGAGCCUCCCAGCCGGAAUACGGCCAAAUGAGCUUGACAUGGACAUGAUCGUCGGUGGAACGAUGAGAAGAAGGAACCAGCUGCACCUGGUUGCGACGCCGUAUAAUGUUCCUAUGGAAUUUUAA
rnacentral:rRNA from 1 species